rnacentral:ncRNA from 2 species
CUCUGGAGAGCGGCGCCCGCUUCAGCAGGGCGCCCACCGAUGGGGCCAGGACGACCGUAGAGCAGCGUGUCGGCCAGACAAUCUCUCAGGUACAUGGACAGAG